CCCUUAGAUGUUCUGGGCCGCACGCGCGCUACACUGAUGCAUUCAACGAGUCUAAAACCUGCUCUGAUAGGGGUGGGUAAUCUUUUGAAUGUGCAUCGUGAUUGGGAUAGAUUAUUGCAAAUAUUAAUCUUGAACGAGGAAUUCCUAGUAAGCGCAAGUCAACAGCUUGCGUUGAUUACGUCCCUGCCCUUUGUACACACCGCCCGUCGCUACUACUGAUUGGAUGUUUAAGCGAGGUUCUCGAACUGCUAGCGACUUAGCUUCGGUGAGGUCGCAGUGUGGGAAGUGAACCUAGCUUUGGUGUCUAGAGGAAGUAAAAGUCGUAACA
rnacentral:rRNA from 1 species